GGAGGAAGUUCUGCUGAUGAUUACGCUAUUUCUAAUUAAAUGGCGCUGUUAAUUUAAAACUGACUUGGAGAAAAAGAAAAAAAGUGAUGUAGAUGCCAGCUAUUAAAGAAGACUAUUCUGUAGUUAUGAUUGACUCUAUUUGUACCUUUGACUCUUAUUUGUAGUAAAAAAUUUUGAACUAAAAUUUUUAAUGCAAAUAAAUUUGUUUAAUUUUUCUAA